rnacentral:lncRNA from 1 species
GCAAAUGGCAUUCUUUUAUUCUUUUUCAUGGUUGAGUAGUAUUCCAUUGUAUAAAUACACCACAUCUCCUUUCUUCAUUCUUCUGCUGAAGGACAUUUAAGUUGCUUCCAUGUCUUGGUGGUUUUAAUAAUGCUGCUAUGAACAUGAAGUGCAUGUAUUUUUUUUUUUUUUUUUGAACCAAAAAUUUGAGCUUAAAGAUCUCGAACUCUGCAUUUUAACUGACACAAGAGCCACUCUUGGGAGAUUCUGACUAGGUCUUUCAGCUUUAAUAAAUGCUUGGACUUUUUAUGGUUUUGGCCUAUGGAGCCAAGCUCAUCUGUUCCAGUUUGCUUAGCAAUAUUGGAAUUUCUGAUUUGCAGGUGGUAACAAAUCAGGCUGGCCGUGCUGCUUCCUUUGGGUGAGAGAGGCGGAUGUCGGAAUGCAGACAUGUCCUCCAGGUGUCCUCUCCCGGAACCAACUUUCUUCGACUUUGGUUUUGAACUUCAAGAAAAGGACAGCCCAGGAUAGAUACGGACGUAGAUGCAGGGGAGUCCCCAGGGGGGACCCUGUUUCAUCCGUGGAAAAUGCAAGUGGGGCCGCUACAAGUCCCCGGCGACUGAACGCCCACACCAGCUGCAGAAUCGACGAGGCCGUCCCUUCCUGGAGAUGCAGAUCACGGAGGUGGCUCCCCUCCCAUCCUGUCAGCUCCUGAGCUGGAUGAAGGACACCCAGACAGGUGCGGGCGGCCCGGCCAGACAGCACUGCGUGGAUUUCGGGACGGCGGAGGAUCGAGGGACUCAGAUGCGGCGAGCAGUGAGGCCGUCAGGCAAGACGGACAGCCUUGCGCCAGUUAAGGAUUCAACGGUGUUCGUACGUAAGAAGCCAUUCCCGCCUCCCCGCCGGCCUCAGGGGACCUCCCACGCAGUGUCAUGGAUCCCGGGGACUCCCUGGGGACGUGAAAUCACCCCAGAUCUCACCAGUGCAGCGGCGUGUCACAGUUCCCCUUCCCGGUGA